AUUCGUACCAUAACAGACAAUGCGAUACUAUGCAGCUCGUCGGCGACUUUCGGCCGCGUUCGGCUCCGAUUCGACUGUAAGCAGAUUGCCACUCUGACGUAUGUGGCGCGAGACUCGGGCUUUCGGACUCAAACGCUCACAGCAAUAAAUCUUAUGGAGAAUCUCCAUUAAUCCAUUUAAAACCUAAAACUGGCUGCAUCAGAAGCGUUUCGGCAGUUUGCAAACCAUAAAGACUAUUUACAAAGUAAUGAAACUGUUAUAUAAAUGUGAAUACGUGUGUAGGCUUGUCCCGAAUUGAAAAUCUCAUGCCAACAAGCUGACCCAAGUUGGCAACCCUGCGUAAGUCGCCCCCCUUAUUUUAUAUGCAAAAAUGAUCAUAUGCAGGGGGCACAUAACUGAUAUGAAAGUACUCAUUCGCUGUCUAAAGCGAUACGCGUGGUAAUGUCUUGUAGCAGCGCAAAUGCGUAUUUACUUUAUGUGCAUACGCGCUGUUAUGACAAGAAAUCAUUGUGUAUUUUAGCCUUCAUGCCGCGAAAGAAUUACAAAUUAGCCUAAAUGUUAAGAUGCACGGUAAUUUCUUGUCAUAACAGCGUGAAUGCACAUAAAAUAAAUACGCAUUUCCGCUGCUACAACAAGGAGUUGCCCCGCGUGUACGGGGAAUGCGUACUUGCGCACCAUGCAGUUAUGUGCGCUCCUGAUCAUAUGUAUAGUAUAUUGUACAAUAAAUGCUAUAAUAUUUAAGUCGUAUCGUUUGCUGUUUUUUAAUAUUUUAAUCAUCAUUUUCUUCGUUCAUUCCUGACGACAAUUGGGGCAGAGACUGUCAUACGCUCUCGGUAACACUCACAACCAGAUGUAGCACAACAGUGAAACAUUUACAAAUGUGACAAAAGGUCUUCUGUGUGUCCAUUAAUUCAUACAUAGAGUUUUAAUCCCGUCUCAUGAAAAGCUGUAGUUAUGUUGCCCCUGACAAUUCCAAAAUUCUUUUUGCAGCAAACUGACAAACCGAAUAAGCCCAGGACACUGGAAAAUGCUUGAAAAACAUGGAUGUUCCUCAACAGAUUGGUUCUGUGGACUGUGGCGUGUUCAUGUUGAUUGUUGUCACGUCACGGAUCGGGGAAGCAGGAGCAGGAAGAUGGAGAAUCUGGAAACCAGCUAGGAACACAGGACAAUAGAAGUAGGGACUUAAAUGACUGGACGGGUAAAAUAUAUUUUGACGCGGAGUUAAAUACAUAGAACUAAUGAAAACAACUGGAAACAGCGAAUGACAUGGAGAUUCCACACGAGGUUAACGAGGGGGCGUGGCACACGGGAGGAUCGGACGAGCGCGCGUGUCAAUUGUAAGAGAGACCACCUUGAAUUGUUGGACGUAACACUUGUGAUACAGAGAAUGUAUUGAAGUGUUUUUCCCCUCCCUUUUAUCAGUAUGCACUGUGCAUGGCCUUGGUGUGUCUUGAGUAUUACAAAAUGCACCAUGAACUGUGUAUAUUAUAUAUCUAUAUUAUAUUUUUAUUUAGGCCAUAAUAUGUGAUCUUGAUCUGUGGUUUUUCAUUGAGUUGGAGGGAUUUGACAAAAACAUCCUUUUAGAAAUGCGUGAGGAAGGUCAAGACUCUGGUCUCCAGCUCACCGCUCUCUGUUACAUCUCCAUGGCCAUUUUGUCUGAUAGUAUCAUUCGAUUUUUCUAUGCUAUAGUUUUUUUAUGUUUAAUCAUUGCAC